rnacentral:rRNA from 1 species
AUCGAUGAAGAACGCAGCGAAAUGCGAUAAGUAAUGUGAAUUGCAGAAUUCAGUGAAUCAUCGAAUCUUUGAACGCACCUUGCGCCCUUUGGUAUUCCGAAGGGCAUGCCUGUUUGAGUGUCAUUAAAUUCUCAACUGUGAUGGGUUUAUUCACAUCAUCAGCUUGGAUCUGAGGGCUUUUGUCGGACUCUAACGAGGUCGACUCCCUUUAAAUUUAUUAGCGGAUUUAGCCAUCGUGGAUACGCCUCGAUUUGAUAAUAUCUAUGUCGUCGCGCUGAAGCGGUAAUCUGCUCCUAACCGUCCUAGGACAAUUUUCAUGACCAUUUGACCUCAAAUCAGGUAGGACUACCCGCUGAACUUAAGCAUAUCAAUAAGCGGAGGAAAAGAAACUAACAAGGAUUCCCCUAGUAACUGCGAGUGAAGCGGGAAAAGCUCAAAUUUAAAAUCUGGCGGUUUCACCGUCCGAGUUGUAAUCUAGAGAAGCGUCUUCCGCGUUGGACCGUGUACAAGUCUCUUGGAAUAGAGCGUCAUAGAGGGUGAGAAUCCCGUCUUUGACACGGACUACCAGUGCUUUUGUGAUGCGCUCUCGACGAGUCGAGUUGUUUGGGAAUGCAGCUCAAAAUGGGUGGUAAAUUCCAUCUAAAGCUAAAUAUUGGGGAGAGACCGAUAGCGAACAAGUACCGUGAGGGAAAGAUGAAAAGAACUUUGGAAAGAGAGUUAAACAGUACGUGAAAUUGUUGAAAGGGAAACGCUUGAAGUCAGUCGCGUCCUUUGAGACUCAGCCUUGCUUCUGCUUGGUGUAUUUCUCGUUGGACGGGUCAACAUCAGUUUUGACCGUUGGAAAAAGGCUGGAGGAAUGUGGCUUCUCCGGAAGUGUUAUAGCCUCUAGUCGUAUACGACGGUUGGGACUGAGGAACUCAGCACGCCGCAAGGCCGGGGUUUUACCCACGUACGUGCUUAGGAUGUUGGCAUAAUGGCUUUAAUCGACCCGUCUUGAAACACGG